rnacentral:lncRNA from 1 species
GAGGUUUCGGAGAUUAGUCGGACACGAUCAGCAGGGAGAGCACGUGUGUUUUUACGAGAAUUAUGCCGAGAUAGGUAACAGAUGAGGAUGAAAUUUGGGCUUGACUGAAGUAAUGGGGGCCGUCUGUGAAGCCUUGGGCAGUACAGCUCAGGGACAAGAAAGACCAGGUGCCUUGCUGGAAAAAACUAGAUCCUGCUGACCAUAGCAUUAUUUUGAAACCACUGACUGAGCACUCUGAAGGAGAGUUAAAGGUUUUAAGAGAAUGAAGAAAAUUUCAAACGUUCACUAAGGAGAACGGGCAAAAGAGUUGACUAAGAAAAUAGAAAAGGAUACCAAGAAAUCAUUGAAGAAGAGAUUAAAGUUAGAGGACAUUAUUUUGUAUUUGUAUAAAUGUGCAUGUUUCCUCAAUUUUUCUCCAGCACAUACAUUACUCUGGGCAUGAGCACAGAAAGCAAGACAAUUGCCAGGAGAAUGUAAUGAAAAAUGAGUUGAAACACUGAAAAAGAUAAAGUACAUCAGUGGAAUAUGAACAGAUUAGGAAAUAAAAUAAAGAAGAUGAGUGGGCUGUGGAAAUAAAAGGAAUCACAAAACUGGAGGCUUAAUGAAGUUAAAGAACAUGUGGACUAGGAAAACCAAGAUGGUUGAAAAGACAGCAGAUUGUGAACACACAAAAAAUUCUGAGCUUAAAUUGUCAGCAGCAGUAAAGCAAUAUCAAGUAAUGAGAAUUCCAGCUGUGAGGCUGUAUGAGUGAUUUGCUGGAGAGGCACAGAAUUAUAGGUCAAUGGAGAUAAAGUCAUCCAUAAACUACAAACAAGGGAGUUGAAGGAGCCAUCCAGGGACAUUUAGAAAUGUGGUUUAGUCAAAUGGCAUGAAACUUUCAGAAAUAAAGGUAUGAAUACAUUAUGUUAAAUGUCAUAAAAACACCACUGUUAUGGUAUGAAACAACUUCACAAUUUCUAAAGGCUUAUUUUUCAUGCUUUAUACUUGAUGACUUGAUAUUAGCUUGUGGUUAAUAAUUUGUAACAAAUAUAACAUGAAUAAAGAUGCAACAUAAGCUAGGUAAGUUCUAUAAACUGAAUAGAACAUGGAAAAUUAGUACACACAGUGCUAUGGGGUGAUGACAAACUGAAAGCAAGUGUAUUGUUUUUGUUUUGUUUUGUAUUGUUUUGUUUUGUUUUGUGACGGAGUCUCUCUCUGUUGCCCAGGCUGGAGUGCAGUGGCACCAUCUCCGCUCACUGCAAGCUGCGCCUCAUGGGUUCACGCCAUUCUCCUGCCUCAGCCUGCCGAGUAGCUGGGACUACAGGCACCCGCCACUACGCCUGGCUAAUUUUUUUGUAUUUUUAGUAGAGACAGGGUUUCACCGUGUUAGCCAGGAUGGUCUCCAUGUCCUGACCUCGUGAUCCGCCCGCCUCGGCCUCCCAAAGUGCUGGGAUUACAGGCGUGAGCCACCGUGCCUGGCGAAAUCAAGUUUUAUAAUGAUGUUUUCCAUUUGUAUAAUAAAUAUUUCCGAGUAUUAACAUUUUAUCUUUCAUACUUUUUCAAAUGUAGUUCUUUUAAUACUCCAAUUAAGAUUUUCUUAUUACCUGAGGAAAGAAGUGAUUAUUAGCAUGGCAAAAAACAAGGAAUAGAGUAUGUUUUGAAAACUGUCAUGUUGAAGAUUUAUUUCUAUGUGCGUUAUUCUUCUGUAAACAUGUAAACAGAUAGUGAUUAAAAGUAAUAUAACUAUAAUAAUAAUAAUUUUACUUUAAUAAAAAUGCCAUACAAGACUCUAGUUUUUUAAGAGCUUGAUUACAUAAAACAUUUCAUAGUUGCUUAUGUUGAGGAUAUUAUUUCUAAAAACAAAGAAUGAAUCAUAUUGUAUAUAAACAAAAUGUAUUGAAAGUUGUUAUGCUAUGAAAAAGGAACUUAAGUAAUUAUCUGAAAUUCUAAUGUAAAUUCUUUAUAAAAACCUGCAGGCAUGAACACUGAUGCUGAAGACAUAGGAAGCCUUUUUCCCCUGAUCUGAAAUCACUUUUAGUAGAAUCAAAUGAUCUGGGAAUGGUGGUUCCAAAAUUUUGUUGCUAUCACUAGUUUAACUUGGCCUUUAUUUUUAUUAUUACUUCUACCACAAGAUGGGUGUUUAUGAAUGUGAGUGGUAUAAAUGGACAAAAACCUGAGGUAGCUUUCUUACUACCUCCCUACUUCUAGUUUUGCCUGUCUUCAUUUAUUCAGAUGACUUACAUUCAUUGCAACUUGUUAACUUAUGUAUUCACUGAUUCAUUCAUUUAUCAUUGCUUGUGUACCUGUAAAGAGUGUCAGCUAUAUUCUAAAUCUGUACUGUCCAAUACAGUAGCCAUACAUAGCUAUUUAAAUUAAUCUCAAACUAACCAAAACUAAAAAUUCAGUUCUGCAGACAUUCUAGCUACAUUUCAAGAGCCCAAAAACUCCAUAUGGCUGGGGGGUAGUUUAUUGGCCAGCACAGAUAUAGAACAUUUCUCUUAUCAUAAAACAUUCCAUUGGACAGUCCUAUUCUCAAGCAGAGGAAUGUAGAGAUACAAGUUGAAAUCUCUGCUGUGAAAGCUCAUGGAUCAUCAGAAAAAAAAAUUAAGAUAGAAGCAUCUUCAAGGAACUUUCGGUUAACAAAGAAUAAACAUCUAAAUGAAUCUGAAGAGAACAUGAAAUGAACAAAAUGAUGCCUGACAUGGAUUUAGUCAGGUGCUCAGGGAAAAGCAAGCAAAGGGAAUAUCAUUUGCAAUGCUCAUGCACCAAACAUAACAACGACAACAAAAAAACUAUAAUUUCAAGGACAUACAAAUAGUUUGAAAUGGCUAGAAUGUGGAGUGAUAUUCGAUGAGGUUUUCCAACAAGUCUCAUGUUUGGUUUAGUUUGGUUUCAUCUACAAAAUAGGAAUAAUAAUAGUACCUAACUCUUGAGGUUGAUGCUAUAAUUAACUAAUUUUAAUAUAUGAAGCACUUAUAACAGCUCUUGGUACUGGCAAGUAUUUAUAAGUAUUAACAAUUAUUAUUAUCAUUGUUAUAUAAUGUAUAUUAUUUUUAAAAGAUUGGAAGUAUGAUCAGUGACUUCAGAGUAAGAAACAGAGGCACACUCCUCAUCAGAACACCAUAGCCAGUGAUAUUCAGGAAAAGAAUUAAACUAAAAACCUCCUGAUCCUUCUGUUUCUUAUGGAGGGAGUGUGAAUGGUGGGAAAAGGAUGUCACUGCUUCUAGAUAUGCUGGUGGGGGAAAAGUCACAAACAAAUAGGAGAAAUAAAAAUUAGCUUAGAGUACAUAGAGCCAGAAUAUUUCCUGACUAUUGCAUGUGGGUGUGUGCUUUUAACUUACAAUUAUUUUCCUUUUUUUAACUUUACUUGAUAAGAAAAAAACAUAUCAGAAGUAUGAAGCUAAAAUAAAACUGUGUUUUCACUAUUUCUUUUUGUUUCUCUUUUUCCUGGUUCAAAAGAAUCAAGAUUAAAAACUGCCGAGAAUAUCCUAACACAGACUGUUCUUAUAAGAAUUUCAGUCGACGUUUGGAAACUUGAAAGGUUUGGGUGGUUUGGCUAAAGGUCAACCAAGAAUCAAACAUUUUAACUGCUUAUUCAGACUGAACUUUUCAACCAUCUCAUGUUGUUCUUUUUACUACUAUACAGUAAUGAUAAAAACCACUGUUUUUUUCUUAAUUUACUAAGGCAAAUAUUUGCAAAUACUAUACAAAUAGCAGCAUUUAAAUUUGUAACUAAUUUAUUUUUCUUGCAUUAAGCUAUGAGAGCAAUGUAAUCAUAAAAUCAUUCAUUAUUAAAGUGACCAGUUUAAUACUUCAAGCUAUUUUACUCAGUAAUAAAAGAGCUUCAAUAACAAAUGAAAUGUUCUUCUUUCCUGAAGGAGCAUAAAUUAUAAAAGUUUGUGAAUUUGAUUAAUUUUUUGGUAGUUUCCAUGAAGUAGUUGGUUAUAUUUGUGAUUGAUUGAAUAUAGGAGGGUUCUGAUUUUACAUGCAAGCUGAUUUUAAGGGGUAAGAAAGCUUUGAAUUUUUCUUUGACCCAAAUCAUUGGCAAUAAUUUUAUGCAUCACACUAUUACUCUUAUCAAUUAGGUUGAGAUUAUCUUUAUUAAUUGUCUCAGUCACAAUGCCCCAAGCCACAACUAGAAUUUAUAAAUCAGAACUGCAGGAGAGGAAACCUGGUCCUCAGAAUUUCUUUAAACUCUCACAAGUAAAACUGAUGAUCACCCUCUUAGAGCAGUAAUUUUCAGUAUCAACAGACUACCUUCUUUAUUUCUGGAUGGUAAAUAUAAAAGCCAUUCAUUUUGAUAAAAGGAUAAGAUCAAAUUUAAAACAAAAGUAUUUAUAUAUUACAUAAUUAUAAUGCAAUUUAUAUAAUAAAGUAAUAUGGAUUUCAAAAUAUAAAUCUUAGGCAGUACUACAGGAAAAUACAAAUUACAUUAAUCAAAUAUGUGUACUUACAAAGCAGUGACCUCCUUUUCCUAUCACUCACACUAUCCCCUCAAAAAAAAGAAGGGUCAGGAGGUUUUUAAAUUGCUUUCCUGAAUAUCACUGGGUAUGGUGUUCUGAUGAGGCAUGUGCCUCUGCUCCUCACUCUGUAGUAAGUGGUUGAUCAUACUUCCAAUCUUCUAAAAAUAAUAGUAGAAAUAUAAUAAUGCUAAUAAUUGUUAAUAUUUAUAAACACUUGAUAGUGCCAGGAGCUGUUCUAAGUACUUCACAUAUUAAUAAUUAAUUAAAUUUUAACAUGAAGAGUAAGAGUUAGGUACUCUUAUUCCUAUUUUGUAGAUUAAACCAAACCAAACCAAACAUGAAACCUGUUUAGAAAACUUCAUCGAAUUAUCACUCCACAUUCUAGCCAUUUCAAACUAUUUGUAUGCCCUGAAAGUAUUAUGCUUUUUUUCUGUUUUGUCCGUGAGCAUUGCAAACAAUAUUCCCUGUACCUGCGUAAGAGAGGGAAAAUGUCUUCUGUGUACCCUUCUAUGUUCUUUGGCCUAUGAAUUAAAUUGACAUAAGACAGAUUAACAGGAGAAAAUUAUUUUAAUUACAUGCGUUUGCACUGGAGUCCCACAAAACAUGAGAUUCAAAGAAGGGUCAGAUGAUUGAAGCUUAUAUGGCAUCCUGAGCUACAGAAAGGAAUUCCAUUCCCAUAUAUGUCAAAGAUGUCUCUGCCUGAGAGCUUUUUCUCAACUCACACGCUGUGUAAGGCUAGAAGUGACCACGAUUAAACCCUUAGUUGUUGCCACUCAUUCAUUUAUAGAAAUGAAUUGAAGGAUAAGUGUCUCAGGUUUUUUGAAAUUUGGAUUAGAAAACUUGGCCAUCUACCAGGGGUUUUCCUUAAGACUGAACCUUAGUGCCUCAGGGAUAACCUGGCUAGUUAAAGCACCUUUUAUUAAUUUUGUUUCCUCUCCUAUCUUACUUCCCACUUCUUUACUGAUUUUUCGUGCAGUUAAUUUGCAAUCAAAUCCUUUUCUUUUCUUUUUUCUUUUUUUUUUUUUUAAGAUGAAGUCUCACUCUGUCGCCAGGCUGGAGUGUAGUAGCACGAUUUCGGCUCGCUGCAACCUCCAACUCCCUGGUUUAAGUGAUUCUCCUGUCUCAGCCUCCCUAGUAGCUGGGAUUACAGGCAUGCACCGCCAUGCCCAGCUAAUUUUUGCAUUUUUAGUAGAGACGGGGUUUCACCAUGUUGGCCAGGAUAGUCUCAAUCUCCUGACCUCGUGAUCCACCCGCCUCAGCCUCCCAGAGUGCUGGGUUACAGGCGUGAGCCACCACACCCGGCCCAAAUCCUUUUCUUGAAGUAUGCCUCUAGGGAACUCAGCUAAAGAGUGUUGGUGAAGGAUGAGAUUCUGGAGUUAGAUCACUUGCUGUGCAAAUGUCAACAAGGCCCUCCUUGCUGUUAGUAACUGGGUUAAUAAUUAUCCACAGCAUCCUAUACAAUGCAACUACUCAUAUGGAUUAGAUUAGAAAACCCAGAAGACUUGUAGAAUUUAGCACUGGUUUAUGUAAUAGCUCUAGUGCUUAAAAGAAUGCUAAUUAUGCAUAUUGUGAUAUUGUUUGGUGAUUGUUAACACCAUAGAAGCCCCAAAGAAGGAAAGUAACAAACAUAGAAUAGCAAACAAAAUGACUUAUAGUGUGACUUUCAGAAAGUGUCCUUGGUGGCACUUUAGGAGACCCUUAUCAAUUCUGGCUAGAGACAGGAGUGUGUUGAAAACUACAAUCUUAAUUGUAACAAGCGCACACCACAAAGGAAGCUUAAUUUACAGCCAUAGCAGGGCUUCUCCUGUGUUAAAGCCAAAGCUGUGUUAACAAAUAAAUGAGACCCUUAGGCCAGAAUAUUUGGGUAGAGAUGCAUGCGAGAGGUGUUUAAACCUCUAGGUAGCCCUAAACAGUCUAAGCAGGAUGGGAAGAUUUCACUCUCCUUGCUGGAGAAACACAGCCUCAUACUAUUAUGAGAAGGACUCACCUGAAGUUAAGGCCCUGCCAAAUGAUUCUUGGCCUCCUUUAAGGUGUCUCCACCACUGCUCACAGCUUCUAGCCCAAUAAGGAAAUUCAAGUCUCACCACAGCUCAGGUAAAGUAUAGUUCCUGCUAUGGGAGGGAAAUUAUACACUAAAAGAAUUCUAGGUCCUGGCUAAUAUGUACCAGCAGAAAUCUGUAGAACAUGCUAGGCAAUUGAUCUUGAGGAUGUGGGACCAGAAAAGAUGAAGUAAAGGCCGGUAGAAAAUUGCUGACAUAGGGCCACUCACUCAUCAUUUAGAAUUGAAUAAUGCCUUAAGAAUGCUGGAGAUAGGUCUAAUAUGUUUCAAUAAUUAUUCCUUGAAGCUUGGAAACACCAAGUAAAUGAGGUAGAUAUGUCAGAACUGCUCCAGCAAUUAAGAAAGCAGACAGAAGUAUCAGAAAAGUGAGCAUGUACAAACAGAUUUAUUCUACAAGACCAGAAAAAUCACCAGCGGACAAUGUUUGAGGGUCCUGCAGCUGGACACCCGGGAAGGAGCUGGUUUUGGUCUGGUUUGAGCAUCAUGGAGCUGGACACCCAGGGAAGGGCUGUGUUUUUCUGGUUUGAGGGUCAUGGGGCUGGACAACCAGGGAGGAGCUGGUGUUUUUUUGGUUUAGGGGUCAUGGAGCUGGAGAUACGGUGCGGGGGUGGGGGCAGUGUUGUUCUAGUUUGAGGGUGGAGGAGCUGGAAAUCCAGGGGUAGGAGUGAUUUUCUAGUUUGAGGUCGUUUGAGGGUCAGCUGCACAACCCUCAACCUGGAGGGACACCAGCUCCCCCCUGGGUCUCCAGCUCCACAAACUUCUCACUGGAGAAACACUAGCUCCUCCCCGGAUCUCCAGCUCCAUGGCCCUCAGACUAGAGCCGCAUCAGCUCCUCCUCAGGUCUCCAGCUCUACAACCCUCAAGCUGGAACAGUGUCAGCUCCUCUCCAGGUCUGCAGAUCCACGACCUUCAAAUGAAAACAACAUCAGCUCCUCCUUGGAUCUCCAGCUCCAUGACCCUCAGACUUAAACAAGAGCAGCACCAGCUUCUCCCUGGGUCUCCAGCUCUAUGACCUUCAGACUUAAACAAGAGCAGCACCAGCUUCUCCCUGGGUCUCCAGCUCCAUGACCCUUGAAGUAGGAAAACAUCAGCUCCUCCUUGUAUCUCCAGCUCCAUGACCCUCUGAUCAGAAAAACAUCAGCUCCUCCCCAGGUCUCCAGUUCCACGACCCUCGAACUAGGAAAACAUCAGCUCCUCCCUGUGUCUCCAGCACCAAGACCCUCUGAUCAGAAAAACAUCGGCUCCUACCUGAGUCUCCAGAUACAGGAGCCUCAAACUAGAAAAACAUCAGCUCCUCCCAGGGUCUCCAGCUCCAUGACCCUCAAACUAGAAUAACAUCAGCUCCUUCCCAGGUCUCCAGCUGCACGACCAUCAAACUAGAACAUCAGCUCCUCCCCAAGUCUUCAGCUGCAUGACCCUCAAACUAGAACAUCAGCUCCUCCCAAGGUGUCCAGCUGCAUGACCGUCAAACUAGAACAUCAGCUUGUCCCCGAGUCUUCAGAUGCACAACUCUCAAACUAGAACACCAGCUCCUCUCCGGGUCUCCAGCUGCACGACCCUCACACUAGAAAGACGCCAGCUCCUCCGGGUUCUACAGCUGCAUGACCCUCCAAGUAAAAAAAACACCUGUUCCUCACAGGGUCUACAGCUGAACGAACCUCAGACUAGAAAAACACCAGCUCCUCCCCAGGUCUCAACCUGCAAGACCCUCAAACUAGAACAACAUAAGCUCCUCCCUGGGUUUCCAGCUCAAGGAACCUCAAACUAGAAUAACGCUAGCUUCUCCCUGGGUGUCCAGCUCCACUACACUCUGAUCAGAAAAACAUCAGCUCCUACCUGAGUCUCCAGCUUCAGGACCCUCAAACUAGAACAUCAGCUCCUCUCCGAGUCUCCAGCUGCACGACACUCAGACUAGAAAAACUCCAGCUCCUCCCAAGUUCUACAGCUACAUGACUCUGAAACUAAAAAACACCCUCUCCUGCCUAGGGCUUCAGCUGAACUAACCUCAAACUAGAACACCACCAACUCCUCUCUGGGUAUCCAGCUCCAUGACCCUCAAACAAGAAUAACACCAGCUCCCCCCUUGGUCUCCAGCUCCAUGACCCUUAAAACAGAACAACAUCAUCUCCUCCCCGGGUCUCAAGCUGCAUAACCCCCAAAAUAGAACAUCAGCUCCUUUCCAGGUCUCCAGCUGCAGGACACUUAUACUAGAAAAACACCAGCUCCUCCCGGGUUCUACAGCUGCGUGACCCUCAAACUAAUGAAACACCAGCUCCUCUCUGGGUCUCCAGCUGCACGAACCUCCAACUAGAACAACACCAGCUCCUCUCUGGGUCUCCAGCUCCAUGACCCUCAAACGAGAACAUCAGCUCCUCUCCAGGUGUCCAGCUGGAUGACCCUCAAACUAGAACAUCAGCUCCUCUCCGGGUCUCCAGCUGCACAACACUCAUACUAGAAAAACGCCAGCUCCUCCUGGGUUCUACAGCUGCACAACCCUCUAACUAAAGAAACACCAGCUCCUCUCUGGGUCUCCAGCUGCACGAACCUCAAACUACAACAUCAGCUCCUCUCCAGGUUUCCAGCAGCAGGACACUCAUACUAGAAAAACACCAGCUCCUCCUGGGUUCUACAGCUGCACGACCCUCAAACUAAAGAAACACCAGCUCCUCUCUGGGUCUCCAGCUGCAUGAACCUCAAAUUAGAACAACACCAGCUCCUCUCUGGCUCUCCAGCUCCAUGACCCUCAAACUGGAACAACAUCAGCUCCUCUCCAGGUCUCCAGCUGAGAGACCCUUAAAUGAGAACAACAUCAGUUCCUCCCCGAGUCUUCAGCUGCACGACCCUCAAACUAGAACAUCAGCUCCUCUCUGGGUCUCCAGCUGCAGGGCCCUCAAACUACCACAUCAGCUCCUCCCCGAGUCUGCAGCUGCACGACCCUCAAACUAGAACAUCAGCUCCUCUCUGGGUCUCCAGCUGCAGGGCCCUCAAACUACCACAUCAGCUCCUCCCCGAGUCUGCAGCUGCACGACCCUCAAAUUAGAACAUCAACUCCUUUCCGGUUCUCCAGCUGCAGGACACUCAAAUUAAAAAACGCCAGGUCCUCCAGGUUCUACAGCUGCACAUCCCUCAAACUAAAAAAAACUCCUGCUCCUUCCCAGGUCUCUAGCUGCACGAACCUCAUACUAGAACAGCACCAGCUCCUCUCUGGGUCUCCAGCUGCAAGACCCCCAAACUAGAACAACAUCCACUCCACCCAGGUUCUACGGCUGCACAACUCUCAAACUAAAGAAACACCAGCUCAUCUGCCGGUCUCCAGCUGCAUGAACCUCAAACUAGUACAACAGCUCCUCUCCGGGUCUUCAGCUGCAGGACACUCAUACUAGAAAAACGCCAGCUCCUCCCGGGUUCUACAGCUGCAUGACCCUCAAACUGAAAAACACCCGCUCUUCCCCAGGUCUCCAGCUGCAUGAACCUCAAACUAGAACAACAAGUCAAUACGAGAAAAACGCCAGCUCCUCCCGGGUUCUACAGCUGCAUGAUCCUCAAACUGAAAAACACCUGCUCCUCCCCAGGUCUCCAGCUGCACAAACCUCAAACUAGAACAACACCAGCUGCUCUCUGGGUCUCCAGCUGAAUGACCCUCAAACUAGAACAUCAGCUCCUCCCUGAGUCUUCAGCUGCACGACCCUCAAAAUAGAACACCAGCUCCUCUCCGGGUCUUCAGCUGCAAGACACUCAUACUAGAAAUUCACCAGCUACUCCCAGGGUCUGCAGCUGCACAACCCUCAAACAAAAAACACCAGCUCCUUCCCAGGUCUUCAGCUGCAAGACCCUCAAACUAGAAAAAUACCAGCUCCUCCCCAGGUCUUCGGCUCCAUGACCCUCCAAUUAAAACAACAUCAGCUCCUCCCGGGUCUCCAGUUGCACGACGCUCCAAUUAGAACACCUCUCCCCGCUGGAUCUCCAGCUCCAUGACCCUAACAGAAGAACAGCAACACCAGCUCCUUCAUUGGUCUUCAGCUCCACAACCUAAGACAUCAGUGGCAGCACUGGCUCCUCUGUGGACCUCCAGCUCAACGACUCUCAGACUUAAAAGGCAGCAACGUCUCCUCCCCAGGGCUCCAUCUCCACCACUCUCAGAUUUGAACAGCGGUCGCACCAGCUCCUGUCCGGGUUUUCAGCCCAAUGACCCUCCCUGAACAAUCCCUUCUCAUGAAAUUCAGCAGUCAAGUAAAUGAAUAAAUGUUUUGUUUUCAAAUAAUAAAAAUAAAAAUAAAUAAAACUCAGUGUUAGUAUGAACAUGGAGAUAAAUCAAACUAAAAAUUUUUAAUGAUACAAGUCAUUAUAUUUAGAUAUAUAUCUAGAUAAUAUAUUUAGAUAAUCUAAAUAUAUUUAGAUAAUAUAUAUGGUGCUAUAGGGGAGGAAAAAUACCUCUCUUUUUUCCAUCUUAGGCUACUGGCUGAGGCCACAUAACAAAAG